rnacentral:lncRNA from 1 species
GUGAUUUGGAGCGUGCUCGGAAGGGUAAAACUCAAAUUUGAGUUACUAGUUGAAGUGUUUUGAGGCAAGUGACUUCUAAACUUUGUUAAACUCUUAGACUACACAUGACUACUUUCCUAAUUAUGUUGGGGAGUAAUGGGGAUUGAGGAUGAGUUUUAUUUGUUGAUUGAAAUUGAAAGAUGGGGAAUAAAACGAGCUAAAUGUGUUAUAUGUGACUUGAAUUUGUUGAAUAAGUCAUAUGAUAACCGAUAUUGAGGGGAUAGAAGAGCAUGAGUAGGCUAUGAUUGAUACAGACAUUGAUGUUGAAACAGAUGAUGUGUAAUACUAUGAUGUGAUCGUGAUAUGAUUGUGAUUGAUGACAUGUGCAUAUUCAUUAUUCAUCCCAUGUGUGAACUAUCUGUUGCAUGAGUUCUGAGACACUGAUAUGAGGAUGGAUGGAUAUGAGACACAGUUGAGACUAGCUCCGGCUAGAGAUAUAUGAGAUGGACUAGCUCCGGCUAGCGAUUUGGAUGCCGAUGGGAUCUGGUUCCGGCGGUGAUACAUGGUCCAUGUGUGGCCCCCAUGGGUUCUGAUUUGAGUAUUCAGCGCGGACUGAUUACUUCAACAGAUGUGUAUCGUAGGACAGACAUGCAUCACGACUACAUGACAUCAUUAUUAUGUAUCUUAGGACAGACAUGCAUCACAACUACAUGACAUCAUUAUUGCAUUUGCAUCGCAUUUGACUUCAUCUUUGUUUGUGGUGUGUGGAUUUACCUAUUUGCCCUCUUCACGUUGAUAUAUGAUCUAUUUGCUCUUAUAUGAGGAUAUGAGGUUGAUGUUGAGAUACUGUUGGAUAUAUCUGUUGAUUAUGAAUUGUGUAGUAUUGGUUGUUGGUUCGCUAUUAGAAUAAAGCUUCGGUGGUUCGGUUGGGAUUGAAAGAAGUUGUUUGUAGCUGCUAGUUUUGCUUAGUUUAGUGUUACUUGCGAGUACCUAUUGCUUUUGGUACUCACCCUUGCUUCUACACAGUUGUGUAGGUUGACAACUCUAUCAGAUCCGGCUUAUUACUCUUCUUCAGAUUAGAGCUUCCAGACUUACUUGAGAGGUAGCGGUUCAUUCCAGACGUGCCCUCAAGUUAUCUAUAUUUACUGUUCUGUUCUAUUCUAGAACUUUACUAUGAGACUUGUAUAUUUUAUUCAGAUUCUGUAUUAGAGGUUUGUACAUGUGACAACCAAUUCUGGGG